GACGAACGCUGGCGGCGUGCCUAACACAUGCAAGUCGAACGGAUUGAAGGGGCUUGCUCCUUCAGUUAGUGGCGCACGGGUGAGUAACGCGUAGAUAAUCCGCCUGAUGAUCUGGGAUAACAGUUCGAAAGGACUGCUAAUACCGGAUAAGCCCACGUGGUCUUUGGACCGUGCGGGAAAAGGGGGGGACCUUCGGGCCUUCUGUCAUCAGAUGAGUCUGCGUACCAUUAGCUAGUUGGUAGGGUAAUGGCCUACCAAGGCUACGAUGGUUAGCUGGUUUGAGAGAAUGAUCAGCCACACUGGAACUGAGACACGGUCCAGACUCCUACGGGGGGCAGCAGUGGGGAAUUUUGCGCAAUGGGCGAAAGCCUGACGCAGCAACGCCGCGUGAGUGAUGAAGGCUUUCGGGUCGUAAAGCUCUGUCGAGGGGAAAGAAGUGUAUUGUGGUUAAUACCCGCGAUACUUGACGGUACCCCUAAAGGAAGCACCGGCUAACUCCGUGCCAGCCGCCGCGGUAAGAC
rnacentral:rRNA from 1 species